rnacentral:lncRNA from 1 species
UCAUUAAAUUAUUGAGGCUGAUCUGAAGUUUGUCCAAUUCCAACCCUGAUUGGCACCUUCAACCCCUCAGUUGAUAUAUGCUUCCAGCUUUGGCUGCAAAAGGUAACAUCUCAGUUUAAAAGUUGGUUGCCGUUGGCAGUCUUCACUCUCUAGCAUACUGUGCAUUGUUACACUUGGUUAUUUGCUUGUUAGUGCAGGUAAAGGCUUUUUCUGUAUGUUAAUGAUGCUCUUUUCUCUGACUUGCGCUUGCCAUCCCUUCUCUAUCCAAUAUGCAGUUUGCAUUUUAAUUUUUUUCUCAAUCUUUUAAAUAUAUAUUCUUGAAAUAUGGAGAUUUCAUUGUCUCAGCUAGUUCUCCUUACCAAGUAACACAUGAGAUAGGGCAAAGGACAUUUGAAUCAUUUGGAUUGAUUUUUGUUACUGAUUCAUUUGAAUUUUAAUUAACCAAUAUUUUUCAUACACAAUAUUUGUAUAUAGUACAUUUUGUUAUACAAUGUUUGAAAGGGACCAAAAUAAAUUAUGUUACUAUUUUUCAGUGAUUAUUUGGGGAAGCUGAAUAUUGUGAAACUUUGCAUCAUUGAAGGAUUGACAUUUAAUUACUUGCCAGAAAAGAAGCAGAACACAGCAACAAGGUUGGAUAGAAUGAAGAUAUACAUAGAGGUCUGUUUGUGUUUAAUUUAGUUACUUGAUUUUCAGUACUUCAUAUGUAGUAAGCUUUAUAACCAGAAUCAGUGUGGUUAAUAUUUUUUUAGAAAGAUCAUUUUUAGCAAAUGCUAUCAUUUUGGUGGUACCGAAUAAUUUUCAAUGAUCUAAUAUUUACUUUUCUAAAUAAGCAGAAUCAAGAACGGUUUGGCCCUUGACAUCAUCCUACAGUAUAGUGUCCUUCAUUGUUCUUUUUCAGUGUUGUUAAUUUUGCACCAUUUCUCUUUUUAGUUGUCAUGACUCAUGCCUGCUUUCUUUCGGUAUUUUAUCUUUUAAAGCUACUUUGCUAUGCAUUACUUGAGCCGUGGGUCUUUCGGAAAUAGCAUCUCUACCUCCACAAGGUAGGGGUAGCGUUUGCGUACAUUCUACCCUCCCCAAACCCGACCUUGUGGGAUUACACUGGGUAUGUUGUUGUUAAGUACUUAAGUUUGCACCAUUCUUUAUUAUUAUUAUUAUUUUUUUGUUUCUCAAAUAUUUACAUAUAGUAUUUGCCUAUGUUUUCGACCAUAGUAUGUAGCACUUCUCUACACUAACAUGCUCUCAAUGUUAAUUGUACACAAAUUCUAACAGCCUUGCUGUAGCUUCAGAAUUCUACACGCGAACUUUACAAUGUAAGCACAUUCAAUAGCAGACAUGCUUUUCCAAUUCUGUCUCUUAAUAGUUCCACAUCUGAAGAUGAAUUUCAUGGUCUAUGUUUUGAGCACCGUCUAAUAGCUCAUCUUAUGUGUGUGUAGGACUAGAGAGGUAAAAACUAACAAGGAGGGUCACUAUGCAUAAGCAGUGAGCGUGGAGGCUUGGCUGAAAAUGUAGUGAUAUGGCUCAGUUGAAUCUGCAGAGAAGAGGU